rnacentral:rRNA from 1 species
UAUGCGAUACCUGGUGUGAAUUGCAGAAUUCAGUGAAUCAUCGAAUCUUUGAACGCACCUUGCGCCCUUUGGUAUUCCGAGGGGCAUGCCUGUUUGAGUGUCAUUAAAUACCAUCAACCCUCUUUUGACUUCGGUCUCGAGAGUGGCUUGGAAGUGGAGGUCUGCUGGAGCCUAACGGAGCCAGCUCCUCUUAAAUGUAUUAGCGGAUUUCCCUUGCGGGAUCGCGUCUCCGAUGUGAUAAUUUCUACGUCGUUGACCAUCUCGGGGCUGACCUAGUCAGUUUCAAUAGGAGUCUGCUUCCUAACCGUCUCUUGACUGAGACUAGCGACUUGUGCGCUAACUUUUGACUUGACCUCAAAUCAGGUAGGACUACCCGCUGAACUUAAGCAUAUCAAUAAGCGGA